CACGCACGGCGGCGGCGGGAGCAGCCCCUUGACGGACGACGAGGCGGCCGCCGCCGCCGCCAACGCCUGAGCGUUUCAUGGGAUGUCUUCCAGCCUGGUGACUCAUAUCCUUCCUGCGUGAGAAAGUUCCUCUGUCCCGGGCAGCUGCGGAUCAGAGCACUCCCUAACACAAGAGAUGCUGGGAUCUGGAGCAACACGCGCAAAGUGCUGGAGGGACUGAGCAGGUCGGGCAGCAUCGAUGGAGCGAAAUAAAGAGUCGACGUUUCGAGUCCAGACCCGUCAUGGCGCCGUGGCGACACGUUGCAAGCUGCUCUCUACAGAUCUACUCAUUACCCUUACUAUAAUCGUUCUACACUUUUAAAUUUAAACUCUAUGUCACUAACUAUACAUCAAUGCACUCUGUACUAACUCAAUGUAACUGCACUGUGUAAUGAAUUGACCUGUACGAUCAGUUUGCAAGACAAGCUUUUUACUGUACCUCGGUACAAGUGACAAUAAUAAACCAAUACCAAUUGA